rnacentral:lncRNA from 1 species
GGAUAAUCCACGCUAAUCUCCCUUUAUGCUGAUUAGCAACUUUCAUUCCAUCUCCAACCUUAAUUCCCCUUUGCUAUGUAAUCUAACACAUUCACAGGUUCUGGAGAUUCAGAAAUGGACAUUACUGGGGAGGGGAGAGCAUUUUUCUGCCUACUCUAGAUCCAAAUGUCAACCCAAGGCUGAACAGCCCUGAUUUCAAAGGACAUAUGCACACAUGACACAUAUCCACACGUACAUGCAUUAUACACACAUACCUGUACACAUUUAGACAGAUAUGUGGAGCAUCUUUACAGGUCAGAACACAAAUAUACACCUCUACCUCCUUUUUAUGGCUGCAGAGUAAGCCAUUCUGUGGAUAUACCAUGUUCUACUUAACUGCACGAAAGCAAGGCAGCACCACCAAACCCUCCAGCCUCAUAUUCAAUCUAACUGAACUGUGGACUGAAGACAGCUCAAGACCGUCAAACCUCCACAUCACAAACGGUUCCUCCAAGGCUGUAGGGAUCUACUUGAGCCUUCAUAAUAGCCAACAGUAGCAGCCAUAUUUGCUAGGUGCUUUCUAUGCCCCAGACACUCACUGGGUUGACACCUACAUCUAUUCUAAUUCUCAAACCAGGCAAAUCGGAUAGGAUCCACUAUUACUCCCAUUUUACAUAUAAGGAAAGUGAAACUCCAAGAGGUAACUUGCCCAGGACCCCAGCACUAAUAAGUGGGAUUGUGGGAUUCAAACCCAGAGGGCUUGACUAGCCACCCCUAGACUUAGUUUAUUUAAACCAGGGAGCAGACUACACCUGAAGGCUCAAUCCAGCUCACUGCCCAUUUUUUAUGGCCAGAAAGCUCAGAAGAGUGGUUAUUUUUAAAUGACUAGAAAAAACCCCAAAAGAAUAAUAAUAUUCGGUAACACGUGAAAAUUAUAUGAAAUUCAAAUUUCAGUGUACAUGAAAGUUUUAUUGGAACACAGCCAGGCUCCUGUGUUUAUGUGCUAUCUAUGGCGGCUUUCAGGCUACAACAGCAGAGUUGAGUUGUUGUGAUAGAUACCGCCGUGUGAUCUGCAGAGCUCAAAACUGACUCUCUAGCCAUUUAUCCUUUCUCCAGUCACAGAGAAUCUGGUCCUCAAUCUUUCUGACUGCUUCACGCUGAGAAGGGGCAUUGUGGGAUAAUGACGAAGAACGAAAACGUCAUGCCUAUAGCUGAAGUACUCACAAGUGCCUGGCUGGCAUCCAGCUUGAUGGAACAUGGUCUUUGGCUGGGCUUUGAAUACUAACUUAAGGCCGUAGAAGGGUUCACACAACCAUGAGUGUUUCCUCUAGAGGGAUCCAAGAGGGACUAGUUUUACUCCAGUACGAGACAGGACCUCCAGACUAAAGUCAGAUCCAACUGCGCUGGAUGUUUUACUUGGAGCCAACCAGAUGACUUCUAUGAACAAUAGGGAUGUCUUCCUGGUUUGGUGGCCUUGACUCUGGCUUAAGCUGUUCCUUGGAGCAAGUGGGCAGCAAUGUGGCCACAUCUCAAGUGUGCUCAUAAAUGGCACAGAAAAGGGGAAGAGUUCCCUAACGGUGAGAUAAAGGAGACUGAAGCCAGUAUGAAAUUCUUAAUAUCAGAGAAUGAGGGACUUCAAAAUCUUUGUAGUGACCUCAGAGAUACGUAGGAAGCAUCAGAGCUUCAGAUAUGGCAGCAAACUACAAGUUAUUGGCAUCAAUUACAACAGAAAGGCAGAAAUGAGCGUUCCUGAAGCAAGAAAGCAAGCACUGCAGGAUCGGUUGCAGGACCGGCAGCUAUUGGCAUCAAUUACAACAGAAAGGCAGAAAUGAGCGUUCCUAAAGCAAGAAAGCAAGCACUGCAGGAUGCGUUUUAGGACUGGCAGCUAUUGGCAUCAAUUACAACAGAAAGGCAGAAAUGAGCGUUCCUAAAGCAAGAAAGCAAGCACUGCAGGAUGCGUUUUAGGACUGGCAGCUAUUGGCAUCAAUUACAACAGAAAGGCAGAAAUGAGCAUUCCUAAAGCAAGAAAGCAAGCACUGCAGGAUGCAUUGCAGGACUGGCAGCUAUUGGCUUCAAUUACAGCAGAAAGGCAGAAAUGAGCGUUCCUAAAGCAAGAAAGCAAGCACUGCAGGAUGUGUUUUAGGACUGGCAGCUAUUGGCAUCAAUUACAACAGAAAGGCAGAAAUGAGCAUUCCUAAACCAAGAAAGCAAGCACUGCAGGAUGUGUUUUAGGACUGGCAGCUAUUGGCAUCAAUUACAACAGAAAGGCAGAAAUGAGCGUUCCUAAAGCAACAAAGCAAGCAUUGCAGGAUCGGCUGCAGGACCGGCAGCGAGUCCUGAAGUCAACACAUUCAGGGAGGCCAGAGGUUCCCAUCCACACUGCAUCCCCUCCAUUCGGGUGGUACCCAUCAUGCUUCCGUGUUCCACGAUGAGUACAUGGGUUUUUGUGACAUAAUUUCAUCACAGCAAUAAAUAGAUAGUCCAAUGAAGUUUUAAAACACAAGUUUCCAGUUGGCCACUGAAGGCAUAUUGCUCAGACUUCUAAAGUAGAAGGAACAAUUAGCUUUGAUGAAAAUGAAAUCUACAAACUACAAACACCAGAUACCAUCCAGGAGCUCAAGCAAAAGAGAAGUCAGGAUACUGAUGACCAUCCCCUGCUCUGACAGCACUUGAGAACUAUCGAGGAAAAUAAGCCAUUAGACUCCAGCACAAUGGCGACCCCACAGGGAAGUGCAGGGUCCCCCCAGGUUGUCACCAUCACCACGGCUCACGUUUAUUGAGCCCUUAUCAAUAAGAGCCUGCCACUGUUCCAGGUGCUUUGCAAGAAAUAGUUGCCUAAAAGUUUACAAUAACUCUAUAUUAUCAUCCUCAUGUUACAGAGAUGUGGAUAAGAUGUGGCACAGAGAAGUGACUUGCCCAAGGUUUCCUGGCUCUGCUCUGAAUCUCGGCAGUAUUACUUCAGGUACCCUGUCCUUAACCUACCUGAUACAUGCUUUACAAAUAUUAACCCACCUAAUCCUCAAGACAACUAUGAGACUGAUACUACUAUUAUACCCAUUUUAAAGAUUAGAAACCUAGGCACAGAGAAGCUCAUUAAAUUGUUGAGCAUUACAGACAUGACAGGAGGGGCCCUGAACACAAACCCAGGGUACCAGAAAGAGAUCCUGAAACUGGUGAUGGCUUCUGAGACCUACUAGAUGAGUUGGAAACCCGGAGACUGGAUAUUACAAGGGCACUCAGGGCAGGGAGAAGAGAGGGAAGAGAGAGCAGGGAGGAGCAGACACAGCUGACAUGGCUGGGGGAGAACCCCACCCCAUUGAAGCUCAGGUACACGGGGCCUACUGAAGUCUGUGAGCAAACUUACUUGCCCACAGGGUGGGCAGGAUUGCCGAGGGCCAGCCCAAUUCCAGGCCAUCAGGUGUGCAGACCCCGCUGAAGGACUGCAGAAAACAUGGAAAGGAACUCUGCUGGACUCCGGGCCUCCAAAUGAGUACCAGACAGCAAAUGUAAAAAAAAAAAAAAGAUCUUCAGAAAGGCUGUUACAUGCAUUUAAAGAAAAGAAAAACAGGCUUAGCAAACCAUGGCCACCCCACGCUGAGAAAGUAUGGUGAGACCCAAUGGAUGGAAACUACUGGAAGGCUGAUUUAGACUUGAUUGAACAGCGUCUUCCGGAGGAUUAGCAGUGCCAGAGUAGAUACCAUUGAACUAGAGUGUGUGAAUGGCAAGGAGGUUUCACCUCUGAAUCGGGGGAAGACAGAAUGUUUUCCCCAUUGGAGAAGUCAGCGACCAUAUUUCCACUAUGGAGGAAUCCAAGAACGGUCCGGCUUGGAUGGCACAAUCCACAUGGUUCUGCAUGACCUGCCACAGCUCCACAUCCAUGGGGACCAACCAGGGCCUGGGCAGCUGCUGGGCUCUCUUCUGAUGUGGACAGUGUCUUGCUCUGUCACCCAGGCUGGAGUGCAGCGGCACAAUCAUAGCUCACUGCAGCCUCAAACUCCUUCAAGGGAUCCUCCCCACUCUGCCUCCCAAAGCAUGAGGAAUAGAGACAUGAGUCAUUACUCCCAGCCAUUGUAAACUUCAUCUCCUUUAACACUUCCAAUAAUUGCAGGACAGACCAGAUAAUGGUUCUUCCUAUCUAUUGCUUCAAGUUUCAUUCUCAUUUUAAGUGAUUUAAGGUUGGCUUCUGUGAUUCUUCCUUAAAGUAAUGUUAAAGGUGUGACUUCAGUUUCAUUUAGAGUUCAUAAGAUGACUCUAAAUGACUAGCCAAGAUGACACAUUCAUCUGGAACCCCAGGGAAGACGGAAGUAAAACCCUCCUUUUUCUCCUAAAUAUCCCAAAAGGUUGGGUGCCCUAGGUCCAAGGGAUCUGCAAGCCUCCUAAAGAAAUUUCCAUUGUCCCUCCCGGCUGGUGUGAAUUGUAAUCUGGUAUCUAUAUCCCAGGAACAUUUAACAAACAUUAAAGAAACACCAUAAAGCUAACAAGCUGUUACCAACUGUGAAGUCAUUAGCUAGAGGAAUCUUGGAUUGUCCAAAAGACUGAAAAAGCCCAGGCAGAUCCCAUCUCUUCCUCAUAACUGUUCCACUGGAAAUUGUCAUUUUUCACAGGAGACUUUUCGUUUUUUUGGUGACAAGGUCUGGCUCUCUGUCACCGAAGCUGGAGUGCAAUGGCACCAUCUUGGCUCACUGCACCCUUGACUUCCCAUACUCAGGUGAUUGUCCCACCUCAG